GGGGGGCUCUGAUGACCUAGGAGUGCAGUGGACAAAGGCAGAGGUGAGAUUGUGCUUUUGGGCAAGUGUCCUUUUCUGUGUCGAGGAAGUGGGUAACACGCUGAGCCUGUGAAGGUUGCCGUGAAGCUGAUGCUGACAAUGCCCAGCAUGUGGCCUCUGGAGCCAGGCACAGUGUGGGGCACAUCGUGGGGGUUCAGGAAGUGUUGAUUGAAAGCAGUGCCUUUGCCGAACCAGGGAAAUGGGCACUUGGUUGCGGGGCUGGCCUUAGUGGCGGACGGGAUGGCAGGAGCAGAGUGGUUGCUGAGCGCACGGGGUGGGGGGUGUAGGACCAGCCUCCAGGGAAGAGGCUGGGGCUGCAAAUACAGGUUUGGGGGGUCCCUCAGCCACAAAAGUGAGCUCUCGUGGAGGAGGGCAGGAGUAGAAAGAGGAGUGUGGAGGGCACAGGGCUGAGCCUGGAGGGGCCCAUGACAACAGGGAAGGGGCGCAGGUGAAUCGGCAGACAGCGAAGGGCGUCGGAGGAGGAGAGGCAGGUGACCUCCCAGGUGCCUCUCUAGGAAGGCAGGAGAGAGGAGACUCCUGCAGGCAGCGAACCACACUCGGUUGUUUCACCUUCCUGACUGUAGCAGGACCCGCAGUUGUGGCAGGUGGGACUCUGAUUCGAAACCCCCCGCCGCAUUGGGUUAUUUGGAACCCCUGUGCCUCCUUGUUUCUGCAGGGGCUGGAGAGGAGAGUGUGCUCACUGGCAGGGCCUGAGCAUGCUGGGGCCAAAGCGAUCCAGACAUAGGGCUGCUCACAGGAGCCCAAGGGUUUCCCCCAGCUCCCCUCCCCCUCCGUAAAUGGAAUGUGAUCCCGUUUCUUUAAGGAAAUCAUUGCAUCCAUGGCUUUGGGGGAUGCAGCUGUCAGGUACAAGAAACUCUGGGUUGUAUAGUGGGGUGUUUGUAACACAUGUAGAUACCUAAAGGCUUGCGUGUGCAGGCUUAGAAAAUAGAUCAAUGGAUCCAUAGAGAGAAAAAAGGGAACUGUGCUCAUUUGCGGCAGCGGGGCUGGUGGGGGGGGGUCUGUAGCCACUGGAGGGCCCGCGGGUUGGGGUGGGGUGUGUUUCUCAUAUUAUGUGUGAGCUCACAGUGUGGUAUCGAUCCUGCAUCAAGCCUGUGUGUGUGUGUGUGUGUGUAUUGUGGGGAUGGUAUAAGGUGUGACAAAUGACAGUGUGUGUUUCUGGGGUGUAACUAACCCCCUAAGAGCGGAUGAGCAAAGAGCACAAAAGCCGGAGCCCAGCCUGCUUGAGCUUAGUUGAAGAAACUGCCUCUUUUCUCUUUGCCUUCUAUCUUCUCUCUUGACCUAUUUGAUGAGCCCCAGGGAGGCCCAGGCAGGCCCCUAAGGGGUGAGGAGCUGACUGCUCCAAGGCCUGUGGCCUGACCGAGGGAUGCGCCCAGUCUGAACCCCUUCCACCACUGAAGUGCCCCGUCCAGCCUGGGGGCCCUACACCUCAGCCAGCUGUUGAAAAGGCAUUUUUCCCGCAUCACAGAACCAGAGCCUGAAAGGGUUUCAGAUGAGAUCUAAUCCACCUCUCUCAUUUUUACAGAAUAGGUACUGGGGGCUCAGAGAGACUAAGCAACUGGGACGGGAGUCACACAGCACUUUGAGGCCGGAUUGUGUUUUCUGACUGCAUCCAGCUGACUUUCCUCCCCUGGGCCGGUGGGGGUGGGGAGUUGUGGGUCCGACUGUGCAAAGGCUUCAGGUGUGAGUUGUGUGACAGAUUGUAAUGAUUAUAUAUGUCUCUGCAUUGCUAAGUGCCUUUGUGUGUCAGUGCGUCACAGGGUGAGCCCUCACGAGCGUGUCCCCAUCUGUCUCUUCAGAGGAGCAUGCUGGGGGAGUCAGGACACCUGACUGCUGCUCCUGGUCCUGCAUCCGAUUCCCCCUGUGACCUUGAGUGGUCACUUCCUUGUCUGGGGCCUCAGUUUCCUGAAAUGUAACUUGAGGCUGGCGUCCCCUUGGCCUGUGUGACCCUGUGUGUGAGGCGCUGACUCAGGGGACAGCUUGGUCUCUGUCUCUUCCCUGCUGGGCCUUCUAGGUCGGGUGACUUGUGUCUGGGCGAGUGCGGGCGGGCCAGGGGAUCUUGAACCCACCUCUUAUCAUGCAGCUUGGAGCGCUGUCCUUGGUACCCUGGCUAACAGCCUCCUUUUCUCUCUUUCUCUCUGCCUCCCCUUCCUGAACCUGGCUGGCCUCUAGAGGAGCACCCCAUGGAAGGUGAGUGAUGCCUCUUGGUCACUGGGGUGGCGGAUCAAUGGCCUGGGGUCCUCUUGGCUCCCCCCCAUGUAUGGGCCCCCCGGGGAAGGAUGUCUGGAUGUCCUCUUGGCUGCCUCGGCCCCGCCUCUUGCCCGGUCCCUCUUUACAAUUUGCUGCGGAGAACUGCCUGGCGGAGGCAGCCCCUCCACUGCCUGAUGGGCCCUUUCUUCUUCCCUGGGAGGGGACCAGAAGGGGUAGGGGAGCUGGAGGGAAGGGGGCGGAGGAUUCAGAAGUGUCCAGAAAUGAGGUGUUCCCUUUGUGGCUCAGUGGUAAUAAACCCAACCGGUAUCCAUGAGGAUGCCCAUUCAAUCCCUGGCCUUGCUCAGCGGGUUAAAGAUCCGGCAUUGCCGUGAACUGUGGCGUAGGUUGCAGGCAUGGUUUGGAUCCCGUGUUGCAGUGGCUGUGGUGUAGGCCGGCAGCUGCAGUUUUGAUUCAGCCUCUAGCCUGGGAACUUCCAUAUGCUGUGGGUGCGGCCC
rnacentral:lncRNA from 1 species